AUUGAACGCUGGCGGCAUGCCUUACACAUGCAAGUCGAACGGUAACGGGCCUUCGGGUGCCGACGAGUGGCGAACGGGUGAGUAAUACAUCGGAACGUGCCCGAUCGUGGGGGAUAACGAGGCGAAAGCUUUGCUAAUACCGCAUACGGUCUACGGAUGAAAGCAGGGGACCGCAAGGCCUUGCGCGGACGGAGCGGCCGAUGGCAGAUUAGGUAGUUGGUGGGAUAAAAGCUUACCAAGCCGACGAUCUGUAGCUGGUCUGAGAGGAUGAUCAGCCACACUGGGACUGAGACACGGCCCAGACUCCUACGGGAGGCAGCAGUGGGGAAUUUUGGACAAUGGGCGCAAGCCUGAUCCAGCCAUGCCGCGUGCAGGAUGAAGGCCUUCGGGUUGUAAACUGCUUUUGUACGGAACGAAAAGCUUUCUUUUAAUACAGGAGGGUCAUGACGGUACCGUAAGAAUAAGCACCGGCUAACUACGUG
rnacentral:rRNA from 1 species